GCCGUUAGGACCCGCCGUACCUGGCCGUCCAGGGCCUCUUUUCUUGUCUUCCACUCUCACUUGUCUUUUCUCCCCUUUCCAUGUUUUUGGUUCCUUUCCUGAGUUUCCCUUGUCUCCACUCCCCUGCCCCUUUGCUUCCUCUAUCUCUUUAACUUCUGUUUUCUUGAUGGUGGAGCCAACUUUAGUUUCCCUUAAAAGGCCAUAAAAGGAAAUAGAAUAAUUUUAAAAAUGUCUUUUCAUAAGGCUUGUUUUCUUGUCUUAAGCCUGUUUUUUGGUGGGGGGUGAAAAAGUUCAUAUGCAGAUAGACAUAAACUUCUUUUGGUAAAAGCUGCCCUCUAUUUUCUUCCAUAGCUGUCCUGUGAAAGUAGGAGUGUGUGUGAAUGGUGAAGCUGAGGCGGAGGACCCUUUGCACCACUGCACUCCAGCCUGAGCAACAGAGUGAGACCCAGUCUCAGAACAAAAAAACAGAAACAGGAGAAAAACCAUCCAUAUAAGCAGAGAGGUACUUAAAAUGUUGCAAAACUAAAU
rnacentral:lncRNA from 1 species